GCACCAUGAGGUCACUAGGCAAGCACCAACUGCCUGCUGUCACCAAGCUGAGAUUCAGAUUCAAAUGGCUCAGGUCUUAAACAUCCCCCCAAAACUCAGGGUGAAGAGUCACCGCUGUUGGCAGAAAUGGAAUGAUGCAGGGACAAUGUACUGACUUGAACGUCAGGAAUCCUGGCUGAUAUGCUAAGUGUCUUCCUGUCUUAGCAGCCCAGACGCUCUGAAUUCACCAAGUCCAUGAAGUAUCCCCAGGUUGGCUUCAUUUGGAAACAGCAUGUUCUUAUUAGCAGAAAGCCUUAAAGAGAGUGUCUGGCUUCGUGGUGAAGUUGUGAAUAUUGAAGCAGCCUGAGUCAUCAAACAUGAGUCCAAGAACUUCGCCACCUGAACUCCGUGAGCUGAUAGGAAUGUGCCAUUCUUCUUGGAGCAUCUGUGAAGAAUCCGAGAGGCUGAGGUAGAGCUCACAGACCCUUGAGUAUAGCAGAAUGAUGUUUGGCAGUUUAUUUUUCAGAAAACAUCCACCUGCCAGGGAAAGGAUCCAAGAGUCUCAUGGGAGUGUCCUAAUGACCUUACUGAGCCACUUGUCAAU